rnacentral:sRNA from 1 species
GAAAAGAUUAAAAAAAUAAAUCACAAAAUUUUAGUAAAUAUAGUGUGAAAUACAUAACAAAGAAAUAAACCCGUUUCUUGGUUGGAUUCUUGAAGCUUGAUUAGUUUUGGUCAUGAUUUCUCCAAACUUUCCCUCCUUUUUGUGUGAUGUUCUCUCAUUUUGCUUGUCCCCUUUUUUCUCUCCAUGCUAGGGUUUUAAAAUGUGAAAGAAUGAAUGGUAGAAAAAAUGUGAAAAGGGUGUUUAAAAAGUGUAAAAAUUGUCCCAACCAAAUUACAAGAAGAAUCCCUGAAAAAUUAUAAUGAGCGCAUAGGUCCUCAUUUUCAAACUAAGGCGCGCGCCUUAGUCCUUUAGUUGCCAUCUGUUACUCAAAAUUGCAACUAGGGCACGUGCCUUAGCCCUUGUUUUUCUUUUCUUCAGUUUGGUUCCCAAAGAAUUGCAUGUUGAUCCCCCAACUUUGAUUUCAUCCAAUUUGGUCAUUAAAUUUUGAAUUUCUUUCAAAAAAGUCCUUCAAAAUUUGCAAUUCAAGUCCUUGAACUUUCUAACUUGUACAUUUUAGUCCCCAAAGUCAUAUUUUUGUCCAUUUUUGAUCCUUUUUCCUUCAUCCUUCUUCUCUUCCAAUUUGGGAUUUUAGCUUACAAAAGUCACAAUUAGACAAUUGUGAAUAGAAAUUCGCUCAAUUUAAUCAAUAAUUAACUAGUUAAAGUAGCUAAUAAGUAUAUAAGAACACACUUAUCAGAUACCCUCAAAUUUAAGUUCUUGCUCGUCCCGAGUAAGAUUAACUCCUAACACAAUCAUGCAAUCAAUACUAAGAACUAACAAUGUUAGAUAGCUCGUAAAGGUAUUCAUGAGCUUAAAAUUGUGUAAUCAAUUCACAAAUAUGCUUUCGAAUUAUGCUAUCAAAAGCAAUGUAAACUUGUCCAAUGUUUAAUCGAUGUAUGUGUAGGGGCGGAGCCAGGGACCUUGUCCACUGCGGGCACAACGGUACAGUAAUUUUUUUUGCUAAAAGCAGUAUACGAAAGAAAAAAGCUUCAUGCUUCCUGUGGAUCUAUAAGGAUGACGAAUUUGAAGAGGAAAGUCACAUAUGAAAACAAUCACAGUAGUAAAAAAGGAAGAGAAUUUAAGAGCAGGAAGAGAAAUAAUCCAAGCUCAAAGAAGAAGGGAAAGGAGUAAAAUAGGCCUAGGCGUAGGCCUCGCUUGCUGAAUGCGUUGCAGAAAGAGCUCAAUCUCUUAAACCCUGCAGUUGAAAGGGGAUUUUCUGAUGGUGAAAAAGAUAUUAAUUUCGACGAUACAGUUGGCAAUGAUGUGUAUGAAUACGAAGAAGGCAUUCCGGAUGAGAAAUCAAAGAAGAAUAAAUGGUUUGACCCCGUUGACAACUAUGAGUAUGAGCUUCCUGAAGAUUUUGAGGUCUUACUUUGUCUUUCGUCACUUGACACAAGUGCAUCCAUGUGUUUUACUCUUAUGUUUAAGUUAAUCUUUUGUCUUUUUUUUCAAAUGAGGUUUUUAAUUUUCACACAACCGCCGCUCAAUGACAUUUGAGAAAAUUAUAUUUUAAAUAGAAUAGAAUUUCCUCAUUUUUAGAUUACACAUCUAUUCCCAAAUCUUAAUUAUUA